ACAGAGGUGGCAAGCGUUGUUCGGAAUUACUGGGCGUAAAGGGCUCGUAGGCGGCCAACUAAGUCGGACGUGAAAUCCCCAGGCUCAACCUGGGAACUGCGUCCGAUACUGGAUGGCUUGAAUCCGGGAGAGGGAUGCAGAAUUCCAGGUGUAGCGGUGAAAUGCGUAGAUAUCCGGAGGAAUACCGGUGGCGAAGGCGGCAUCCUGGACCGACAUUGACCCUGAUGAGCGAAAGCUAGGGGAGCAAACGGGA
rnacentral:rRNA from 1 species